rnacentral:rRNA from 1 species
AACGAACGCUGGCGGCGUGGCUAAGACAUGCAAGUCGAACGGACUGGUCAAUUUAUUGGACAGUUAGUGGCGAAAGGGUUAGUAACGGAUAGGUAACGUACCCUGUGCUUUGGGAUAGCGUCAUCCCGACUUCGGUCGGGAUUUCCGAAAGGGGCGGUAAUACCAAAUAAUAUCAUUUGUCUAUAGGCAGGUGAUCAAAGAUUUAUCGGCAUAGGAGCGGCCUGCCUCCUAUCAGCUUGUUGGUGAGGUAACGGCUCACCAAGGCAGCGACGGGUAGCGGGACUGAGAGGUUGACCCGCAACAUCGGGACUGAGACACUGCCCGGACCUCCACGGAGGGCUGCAGUAACGAAUCUUGUGCAAUGGGCGAAAGCCUGACACAGCGACGCCGCGUGUAGGAGGAAGUCCUUCGGGAUGUAAACUACUGUCAGGGGGAAGAAAGUGCGCUUCGGCGCAUUGAUCUACCCCAAAGGAAGUCACGGCUAACUUCGUGCCAGCAGCCGCGGUAAGACGAAGGUGGCAAGCGUUGUUCGGUAUUACUGGGCUUAAAGCGUGUGUAGGCGGAGAUGUAAGCGUUGCGUGAAAUCCCCCGGCUUAACCGGGGAACUGCGUAACGAACUACAUUUCUUGAGGCAAGUAGGGGUGCAUGGAACUCUUGGUGGAGCGGUGGAAUGCGUAGAUAUCAAGAGGAACGCCAGUGGAGAAAUCGGUGCACUGGGCUUGUUCUGACGCUGAGACACGAAAGCGUGGGUAGCGAACGGGAUUAGAUACCCCGGUAGUCCACGCCGUAAACGAUGCCUACUAGGUUGUGCAAGUUCUGACACUGGCACAGCCGAAGCAAAAGUGUUAAGUAGGCCGCCUGGGGAGUACGGUCGCAAGGCUAAAACUCAAAGGAAUUGACGGGGGCUCACACAAGCGGUGGAGCAUGUGGAUCAAUUCGAAGCAACGCGUAGAACCUUACCUGGGUUUGACAUGCAUGUAUGCUUGCUUGGAAACAGGUUAAGCUGCCCUUCGGGGUGAAACUUGCACAGGUGCUGCAUGGCUGUCGUCAGCUCGUGUCGUGAGAUGUCGGGUUAAGUCCUUUAACGAGCGAAACCCUUGCCGUUAGUUGCCAGCGAGUAAUGUCGGGGAC